rnacentral:rRNA from 1 species
GUGUGUAUAAAGUGGCGAACGGCUGAGUAACACGUGGGCAACCUGCCCUCCUCUUGGGGAUAGCCUCGGGAAACCGAGGAUAAUACCCGAUACUUCAAUGUGGCCGCAUGACGACAUUGAGAAAGCUUUUGCGGAGAAGGAUGGGCCCGCGGCCUGUUAGCUUGUUGGUGGGGUAGAGGCCUACCAAGGCAAUGAUGGGUAGCUGGGUUGAGAGACCGACCAGCCAGAUUGGGACUGAGACACGGCCCAGACUCCUACGGGAGGCAGCAGUGGGGAAUCUUGCACAAUGGGCGAAAGCCUGAUGCAGCGACGCCGCGUGCGGGACGAAGGCCUUCGGGUUGUAAACCGCUUUCAGCAGGGACGAGGCGAAAGUGACGGUACCUGCAGAAGAAGCCCCGGCUAACUACGUGCCAGCAGCCGCGGUAAUACGUAGGGGGCAAGCGUUAUCCGGAUUCAUUGGGCGUAAAGCGCUCGUAGGCGGUCUGUUAGGUCGGGAGUUAAAUCCGGAGGCUCAACCUCCGCCCGCUCCCGAUACCGGCAGACUUGAGUUUGGUAGGGGAAGGUGGAAUUCCUAGUGUAGCGGUGGAAUGCGCAGAUAUUAGGAAGAACACCAGUGGCGAAGGCGGCCUUCUGGGCCAUAACUGACGCUGAGGAGCGAAAGCUAGGGGAGCAAACAGG